GGCCGUGUGGCUCAAUGGCAGAGCGUCUGACUACGACUAGAGUCAAGUAUUGAUUUUAGAGUUAUCGCAAUCAGAAGGUCGCAGGUUCGACCCCUGUCUCGGUCA